rnacentral:rRNA from 1 species
UACGAAGGGGGCUAGCGUUGUUCGGAAUUACUGGGCGUAAAGCGUGCGCAGGCGGCCAUCCAAGUCAGUGGUGAAAGCCCGGAGCUCAACUCCGGAAUUGCCAUUGAAACUGUUUGGCUCGAGUACGAGAGAGGUGAGUGGAAUUCCCAGUGUAGAGGUGAAAUUCGUAGAUAUUGGGAAGAACACCGGUGGCGAAGGCGGCUCACUGGCUCGUAACUGACGCUCAUGCACGACAGCGUGGGGAUCAAACAGGAUUAGAUACCCUGGUAGUCCACGCCGUAAACGAUGAACGCUAGCCGUUGGCCAGCUUGCUGGUCAGUGGCGCAGCUAACGCAUUAAGCGUUCCGCCUGGGGAGUACGGCCGCAAGGUUGAA